AGAGUUUGAUCAUGGCUCAGGACGAACGCUGGCGGCGUGCCUAACACAUGCAAGUCGAGCGGGCGUAGCAAUACGGAGCGGCAGACGGGAGAGUAACACGUGGGAACGUGCCCUUCAGUUCGGAACAACCCAGGGAAACUUGGGCUAAUACCGGAUACGUCCGUAAGGAGAAAGAUUUAUCGCUGAAGGAUCGGCCCGCG
rnacentral:rRNA from 1 species